UACGUAGGGGGCAAGCGUUGUCCGGAAUCAUUGGGCGCAAAGAGCGUGUAGGCGGCUCGGUAAGUCCGCUCUGAAAGCCCCGGGCUCAGCCCGGGAAGGGCGCUCGAAACGGCGCGGCUCGAGUGCCGGAGGGGAGAGUGGAAUUCCUGGUGUAGCGGUGAAAUGCGUAGAUAUCAGGAGGAAUACCGGUGGCGAAAGCGACUCUCUGGACGGCAACUGACGCUGAGGCACGAAAGCGUGGGGAGCAAACAGG
rnacentral:rRNA from 1 species